rnacentral:tRNA from 2 species
GCCCUGGUGGUCUAGCGGUAUGAUUCUUCCUUAGGGUUGUCAUUAAACACAUCCACCUGGAAGAGGCCCCAGGUUCGAAUCCUGGCCAGGGCC